rnacentral:lncRNA from 1 species
AAAAUAUGAAGUAUUUUUCAAAGAGAAAGAGAAAAAAAAUUGGAGUGGCAAAAGAGGUAUUUUUAGCCGCAUCGUCACGUGGGCAUUGGCAGGCCAUUUCCCGCCCAGCUAACCUCCCUUCGUGCGAGAAAUGACCAGCGGAAGCGCGCAGCAAGCGCGCCCGCGUGCGGAAAAAUCGCGCAGCACCCGCGCGCCCGCGCGCGGCUACUUCACGCGGCACCAUCGCGCGCAGCAAGCGCGCCCGCGCGCGGCACCAUCGCGGGCAGCAAGCGCGCCAGCGCGCGGCACCAUCGCGCGCAGCAAGGCGCGGCAGCGCGCGGGCACCAUCGCGGGCAGCAAGCGCGCCAGCGCGCGGGCACCAUCGCGCGCAGCCAAGCGCGCCAGCGCGCGGCACCCAAUCGCGCGCAGCAAGCGCGCCAGCGCGCGGCACCAUCGCGCGCAGUUUAGCGAGAUUGCGCGCGGCUCCUUCACGCGGCACCAUCGCGCACAGCAAGCGCGCCAGCGCGCGGCACCAUCGCGCGCAGCAAGCGCACCAGCGCGCGGCACCAUCGCGCGCAGUUAGCGAGAUUGCGCGGGGCUCCAUCGCGCGCAGCAAUCGCGCCAGCGCCGCUGGCACCAUCGCGCGGCACCAUCGCGCAGUUAGCGAGAUUGCGCGCGGCUCCUUCACGCGGCACCAUCGCGCGCAGCAAACGCGCCAGCGCGCGGCACCAUCGCGCGCAGCAAGCGCGCCAGCGCGCGGCACCAUCGCGAGCAGUUAGCGAGAUUGCGCGCGGCACCAUCGCGCGCAGCGAGCGCCCCAGCGCGCGGCACCAUCGCGCGCAGCCAGCGCGAUCGCGCGCGGCACCAUCGCGCUUAGCAAGCGCCCCAGCGCGCGGCACCAUCCCGCGCAGCCGGCGCGAUCGCUCGCGGCACCAUCUCACGCAACCAUCGCGCGCAGUUAGCGAGAUUGCGCGCGCCACCAUCGCGCGGCACCAUCGCGCGGCACCAUCGCGCGCAGCAAGCGCCCCAGCGCGCGGCACCAUCGCGCGCAGCAAGCGCACCAGCGCGCGGCACCAUCGCGCGAAGUUAGCGAGAUUGCGCGUGGCACCAUCGCGCGCAGCGAGCGCCCCAGCGCGCGGCACCAUCGCGCGCAGCCAGUGCGAUCGCGCGCGGCACCAUCUCCCGCAGCCAGCGCGAUAGCGAGGGGCACCAUCGCGCGCAGCAAGCGCGCCAGCGCGCGGCACCAUCGCGCGCAGUUAGCGAGAUUGCGCGCGGCUCCUUCACGCGGGCACCAUCGCGCGCAGCAAGCGCGCCAGCGCGCGGCACCAUCGCGCGCAGCAAGCGCGCCAGCGCGCGGCCACCAUCGCGAGCAGUUAGCGAGAUUGCGCGCGGCACCAUCGCGCGCAGCGAGCGCCCCAGCGCGCGGCACCAUCGCGCGCAGCCAGCUCCCCAGCGCGCGGCACCAUCGCGCGCAGCAAGCUCCCCAGCGCGCGGCACCAUCGCGCGCAGCAAGCUCCCCAGCGCGCGGCACCAUCGCGCGCAGCAAGCUCCCCAGCGCGCGGCACAUCGCGCGCAGCAAGCGCACCAGCGCGCGGCACCAUCGCGCGCAGGCAGCCAACUCUCGUGCGGCAAGGCAGCCAACGAUCUUGCGCGAGGAUGCGCACGCUGGCGCGCGAGGUUGCCCACACUCGCGCGGCAAGGCAGCCAACUCUGGCGCGGCAAGGCUGCCCACGCUCGAGCGGCAAGGCUGCGCACUGUGGCGCGAGGCUGCGCACGCUGGCGCCCGAGGCUGCCCAAGAUGGCGCGCGUUACCAACGCUCGCACGGCAAGCAAGCCCACGCUCGCGCGCCAGGCUGCGCACGCUCGCGCGGCAAGGAUGCGCACGCUGGCGCGCGAGGUUGCCCACUCUCGCGCGGCAAGGCAGCCAACUCUCGCGCGGCAAGGCUGCCCACGCUCGAGCGGCAAGGCUGCGCACUCUGGCGCGCGCGAGGCUGCGCACGCUCGCGCGGCAAGCAAGCCGACGCUCGCGCGCCAGGCUGCGCACGCUCGCGCGGCAAGGAAGCCAACGAUCCGCGCGCGAGGCUGCGCACGCUGGCGCGCGAGGCUGCCCACCCUCGCACGGCAAGGCAGCCAACGCUGGCGCGCGAGGCUGCCCACGCUCGCGCGGCAAGGAAGCCAACUCUUGCGCGCGAGGCUGCCCAUUUCCGAGUAAGGCAUGCUUCACCCACUCGCGAGGAAGGCAGCGCGAACUCGUGCGAGGGAUGUAGCCCAGCCUCGCGUGCCCGCAGCGCACGCUGGCGGGGAAGGAUACGAGCGCGCGCGCGGCAUGCACCUGGCACUCGCGCGGCAAACUGCCGACGCUCGAGCGAGGCAAGGCAGCGGGCGCUCGCCACCAAGGCACGCAGCCCACGCUCGAGCGAGGCAAGGCUUGCGCACGCCAUGCAGCCCCCACUCGCGCGGCAAGCAGCGCAGGCUCGCGAGGCAAGCUGCCCACGAUCGCGGGGCAGGCAGCGCGCGCUUG